GACGAACGCUGGCGGCGUGCUUAACACAUGCAAGUCGAACGGAAAGGCCCUGCUUUUGUGGGGUGCUCGAGUGGCGAACGGGUGAGUAACACGUGAGUAACCUGCCCUUGACUUUGGGAUAACUUCAGGAAACUGGGGCUAAUACCGGAUAGGAGCUCCUGCUGCAUGGUGGGGGUUGGAAAGUUUCGGCGGUUGGGGAUGGACUCGCGGCUUAUCAGCUUGUUGGUGGGGUAGUGGCUUACCAAGGCUUUGGCGGGUAGCCGGCCUGAGAGGGUGACCGGCCACAUUGGUACUGCGAUACGGCCCAGUCUCCUACGUGAGGCAGCAGGGGGGAAUAUUGCACAAUGGGCGGAAGCCGGAUGCAGCAACGCCGCGUGCGGGAUGACGGCCUUCGGGUUGUAAACCGCUUUCGCCUGAGACGAAGCGUGAGUGACGGUAAUGGGUAAAGAAGCACCGGCUAACUACGUG
rnacentral:rRNA from 1 species